rnacentral:rRNA from 1 species
GACGAACGCUGGCGGCGUGCUUAACACAUGCAAGUCGAACGGAAAGGCCCUUUCGGGGGUACUCGAGUGGCGAACGGGUGAGUAACACGUGGGUGAUCUGCCCUGCACUUUGGGAUAAGCCUGGGAAACUGGGUCUAAUACCGAAUAUUCCUUGCUGGCUGCAUGGCCUGGUGGGGGAAAGCUUUUGCGGUGUGGGAUGGGCCCGCGGCCUAUCAGCUUGUUGGUGGGGUGAUGGCCUACCAAGGCGACGACGGGUAGCCGGCCUGAGAG